rnacentral:rRNA from 1 species
GAUAAACGCUGGCGGCGUGCUUCAUGCAUGCAAGUCGAACGCCCACCGCAAGGUGGGAGUGGCAAACGGGUGAGUAACACGUAAGUAACUUGCCCCUAAGUGGGGGAUAAUUCGCCGAAAGGCGGACUAAUACCGCAUGUGGUGGUGGAGGUAAAGCAUCAUCACUAAAGCCGCAAGGCGCUUGGGGAGAGGCUUGCGUCUGAUUAGCUAGUUGGUAGGGUAACGGUCUACCAAGGCGAAGAUCAGUAGCUGGUCUGAGAGGACGGUCAGCCACACUGGGACUGAGACACGGCCCAGACUCCUACGGGAGGCAG